UCUUUUCUUGCUAAUUAAGGCAUAAUUUGAUUUGUGUUGUGCAUAGUAUCAGAGUUAACUAUAUCUAUUAUCCUGUAUAUUCUUAUUUUUCGUGGCCAUCGGAUGCAUGCAGGUGGUGACACAAUGGAAACAAUUCACGUAAAAGAGUCAACAAUAAUACGGCCUGCUCAAGAAACCCCCAGACAUUGCCUACGGUUGAGUGAUUUAGACCUGCUGAUGCCGGCAAGUCACAUCCCCAGUGUGUAUUUCUACCGAAUUACUUAUUCUUAAUACAAAUGUUAAUUAUUUUGUAGAAAUGGAGAAUUUGGAAAAUGAGCAUGCAUUUGAAGAGUUGCAAGAAACAAGAGCCAACAAUGUAGAUAAAAUUAUGCAACCGAAAAAAUAUGACCCAACUCUUGGGAUAUUAUUUAAUAGUCAUGAAAAAAUGUUUGCAUUUUACAAAGUCUAUGAUAAAUAAGAAGGGUUCCUGUAAAGGUUCGAACUACUAAGAAAGUGACUGAUGAAAUUGUAAAAUAUGCGACAUUUGCAUGUGGUCGUAGCGACAAGUUAGAAAGGAAAUCUGUUAAUGCAUUGAAGCCGAAACCUAAUGUGAAAAAUGGUUGUGAUGCAAAAAUUGGAGGUUGUCUAAAUGAAGAAGGAAAAUGGGUCCUUCGAACUUUAAAUCUUCAACACAACCAUGGAUUGAGUCCAGACAAAGCUAGGUAUUACACAAAAUCAAACAAAUUAACGAACUAAAAUAGUUCCUCUAUGGAAGGAAAGUGAGAGGGAGAGAGUAUAUACAAAUGAGAGGUGACGGCAAAAGAAAUUUGCAAAAGAAAGUCUGCAAAAUUUGUAGAUCUAUUGGCUUUGUGCUGCAUCGACGGCAAAGGAAAAUCUACAAGGUUGGUUGGCAUGGUCACGGUAGAGAAGAGAUAAGGUUGGUUAGCCGGUUCUGUGAUGGUAGAGAAGAGAUAAAAAAAUCGUAAAAUUGAUUUUGUGAAAGACAAUUAGAGAUAAAGUAGAGACGGUUGAGAAGAAAUAAGGUUUGAUCUGAUAUCCUUUUCAGACUUCUCUUUUAUUUUUUUAUUAAUAUUUAUUUUUUUUUUAAAGUAACUAUGGGCCCAUGAAGAGAAAAUGAUAAGUGAACGAAACGCAACGAGUGGCUUUAUUUCUUUUUCGAGCCCGUUUUAUAAUUAAAGUGUACAUAUUGAUUAGGUGGCUAAAUUAUUCAAUAACCAUAUUUAAAUGUAGCGCAGCGUGAAUGUUACUUUGAAAUUUUAGAAAAUCAAACAACUUGGAUAAGGUAAUUGAUUCCGCGUGUGGAAUAAAAAAAACUUAUCUCAAAAUAUUGGCUUUAAACGCAAGUUCAUCGGUAUACAUAUGUCCGAAAUGAACUCAUUUUUCAUUUACCAUAAGAAUUCUGAAGUCUUAGAGCUCCCAACCCCCAGGUAUAUGGGUACUUUCUUUUCUUGCUAAUUAAGGCAUAAUUUGAUUUGUGUUGUGCAUAGUAUCAGAGUUAACUAUAUCUAUUAUCCUGUAUAUUCUUAUUUUUCGUGGCCAUCGGAUGCAUGCAGGUGGUGACACAAUGGAAACAAUUCACGUAAAAGAGUCAACAAUAAUACGGCCUGCUCAAGAAACCCCCAGACAUUGCCUACGGUUGAGUGAUUUAGACCUGCUGAUGCCGGCAAGUCACAUCCCCAGUGUGUAUUUCUACCGACGGCCAAAUUACCCUUCCAAUUUGUUUGAAGGUGGUUUACUGAAGGAGGCUUUGAGUAAAGUUCUUGUCCCGUUUCACCCAUUGGCCGGAAGAUUGGGUAAAGAUGAAAAUGGCAGAAUUGAAAUAAAAUGUAACGGAAAGGGAGUUUUAUUUAUUGAAGCUGAAACGAGUUGUGUCACUGAUGAUUUUGGUGACUUUGAAUCAUGCUUGAAGCUCGUGCAACUUGUUCCACCUGUUGAUCGCACGAAAGAUGCAUAUUUUCAUCCACUUAUUAUGGCACAGGUAGAAGAAUAAGAAUAAAAAGAGAGCUCGUGUGUUUCCUCAUUUUAUUAAAAUGAAAUUGAGAGCUACUCCAUCAAAAGAAUUAUUCAUAAUACUCACUCAAACUUAGUCACUUUAUUUC
rnacentral:lncRNA from 1 species